UUAUGUAUUAUUGAAAGAUAUCUUCGAGAUGCGUUCAACCAUUUCUUCUUCUCCUUCACGUUACCUUAGCACCUCAGCCCGUGAGUUUCCCUCCACCGAAGUUCCGCCGCACGCCGUUUGCUCCUCCUGUCGUUUCGUCUUCCGUCGCUAACCCAGACGAAGGCAAGCCGCGUUCCCCGUCGUCUUCCGCCCGAGACAAAACCUCCAGCAGUUUCUCCAUGUCCUGCGCCGCCUCUCCAUUCCAAGCUCCUCCUCCUCUGUUCCCCGCCGCCGCCGGUCUUCUUCCGCGUUUCCCCUCCGACCGAACCCCUGUGGCCUUUCCGCUUCAAGCCGCGCGCGAUUCCUUCUUCUCUCCUAGCCGCGUGUGAGCUUCCAUCCAACCAAGCGGAGUCGCGUGCAAGCCAAGCUAUCUUUUGCCUUUUGCCUAGCCGAGCCGCAAAGUUAAUACGAGAGUCUGACCAGUGAGGGACAAGAAUAACUCAUGAACACCAAACAAGAACCUUUCAAAUGCUUUCAUUUAACACUUUACUUAUUUUCAAGUUGUGGUGGUUGCAUUGAGUUUUAUGUUUAGAACUAUUGUCUGUUUUAUUUUGACUUAAAACACUAAUACUUUUAUAUUUUUAUGUUUAUUUGCAAUAGGGUAUGAACAAAAUUUUCUUUGA